rnacentral:rRNA from 1 species
UACGUAGGUGGCAAGCGUUAAUCGGAAUUACUGGGCGUAAAGCGCGCGUAGGUGGGUGCUUAAGUCGAAUGUGAAACCCCUGAGCUUAACUUGGGGACUGCAUGCGAUACUGAACACCUAGAGUAUAGUAGAGGGAAGUGGAAUUUCCGGAGUAGCGGUGAAAUGCGUAGAUAUCGGAAGGAACACCAGUGGCGAAGGCGGCUUCCUGGGCUAAUACUGACACUGAGGUGCGAAAGCGUGGGGAGCAAACAGG